rnacentral:rRNA from 1 species
UGUAUAAUGGGUCAGCGACUUAUAUUCUGUAGCAAGGUUAACCGAAUAGGGGAGCCGAAGGGAAACCGAGUCUUAACUGGGCGUUAAGUUGCAGGGUAUAGACCCGAAACCCGGUGAUCUAGCCAUGGGCAGGUUGAAGGUUGGGUAACACUAACUGGAGGACCGAACCGACUAAUGUUGAAAAAUUAGCGGAUGACUUGUGGCUGGGGGUGAAAGGCCAAUCAAACCGGGAGAUAGCUGGUUCUCCCCGAAAGCUAUUUAGGUAGCGCCUCGUGAAUUCAUCUCCGGGGGUAGAGCACUGUUUCGGCAAGGGGGUCAUCCCGACUUACCAACCCGAUGCAAACUGCGAAUACCGGAGAAUGUUAUCACGGGAGACACACGGCGGGUGCUAACGUCCGUCGUGAAGAGGGAAACAACCCAGACCGCCAGCUAAGGUCCCAAAGUCAUGGUUAAGUGGGAAACGAUGUGGGAAGGCCCAGACAGCCAGGAUGUUGGCUUAGAAGCAGCCAUCAUUUAAAGAAAGCGUAAUAGCUCACUGGUCGAGUCGGCCUGCGCGGAAGAUGUAACGGGGCUAAACCAUGCACCGAAGCUGCGGCAGCGACGCUUAUGCGUUGUUGGGUAGGGGAGCGUUCUGUAAGCCUGCGAAGGUGUGCUGUGAGGCAUGCUGGAGGUAUCAGAAGUGCGAAUGCUGACAUAAGUAACGAUAAAGCGGGUGAAAAGCCCGCUCGCCGGAAGACCAAGGGUUCCUGUCCAACGUUAAUCGGGGCAGGGUGAGUCGACCCCUAAGGCGAGGCCGAAAGGCGUAGUCGAUGGGAAACAGGUUAAUAUUCCUGUACUUGGUGUUACUGCGAAGGGGGGACGGAGAAGGCUAUGUUGGCCGGGCGACGGUUGUCCCGGUUUAAGCGUGUAGGCUGGUUUUCCAGGCAAAUCCGGAAAAUCAAGGCUGAGGCGUGAUGACGAGGCACUACGGUGCUGAAGCAACAAAUGCCCUGCUUCCAGGAAAAGCCUCUAAGCAUCAGGUAACAUCAAAUCGUACCCCAAACCGACACAGGUGGUCAGGUAGAGAAUACCAAGGCGCUUGAGAGAACUCGGGUGAAGGAACUAGGCAAAAUGGUGCCGUAACUUCGGGAGAAGGCACGCUGAUAUGUAGGUGAAGCGACUUGCUCGUGGAGCUGAAAUCAGUCGAAGAUACCAGCUGGCUGCAACUGUUUAUUAAAAACACAGCACUGUGCAAACACGAAAGUGGACGUAUACGGUGUGACGCCUGCCCGGUGCCGGAAGGUUAAUUGAUGGGGUUAGCGGUAACGCGAAGCUCUUGAUCGAAGCCCCGGUAAACGGCGGCCGUAACUAUAACGGUCCUAAGGUAGCGAAAUUCCUUGUCGGGUAAGUUCCGACCUGCACGAAUGGCGUAAUGAUGGCCAGGCUGUCUCCACCCGAGACUCAGUGAAAUUGAACUCGCUGUGAAGAUGCAGUGUACCCGCGGCAAGACGGAAAGACCCCGUGAACCUUUACUAUAGCUUGACACUGAACAUUGAGCCUUGAUGUGUAGGAUAGGUGGGAGGCUUUGAAGUGUGGACGCCAGUCUGCAUGGAGCCGGCCUUGAAAUACCACCCUUUAAUGUUUGAUGUUCUAACGUUGGCCCCUGAUCGGGGUUGCGGACAGUGUCUGGUGGGUAGUUUGACUGGGGCGGUCUCCUCCUAAAGAGUAACGGAGGAGCACGAAGGUUGGCUAAUCCUGGUCGGACAUCAGGAGGUUAGUGCAAUGGCAUAAGCCAGCUUGACUGCGAGCGUGACGGCGCGAGCAGGUGCGAAAGCAGGUCAUAGUGAUCCGGUGGUUCUGAAUGGAAGGGCCAUCGCUCAACGGAUAAAAGGUACUCCGGGGAUAACAGGCUGAUACCGCCCAAGAGUUCAUAUCGACGGCGGUGUUUGGCACCUCGAUGUCGGCUCAUCACAUCCUGGGGCUGAAGUAGGUCCCAAGGGUAUGGCUGUUCGCCAUUUAAAGUGGUACGCGAGCUGGGUUUAGAACGUCGUGAGACAGUUCGGUCCCUAUCUGCCGUGGGCGCUGGAGAACUGAGGGGGGCUGCUCCUAGUACGAGAGGACCGGAGUGGACGCAUCACUGGUGUUCGGGUUGUCAUGCCAAUGGCACUGCCCGGUAGCUAAAUGCGGAAGAGAUAAGUGCUGAAAGCAUCUAAGCACGAAACUUGCCCCGAGAUGAGUUCUCCCUGAGACUUUAAGUCUCCUGAAGGAACGUUGAAGACGACGACGUUGAUAGGCCGGGUGUGUAAGCGCAGCGAUGCGUUGAGCUAACCGGUACUAAUGAACCGUGAGG